ACUACGGGAGGCAGCAGUGGGGAAUAUUGGGCAAUGGGCGCAAGCCUGACCCAGCAACGCCGCGUGAAGGAAGAAGGCUUUCGGGUUGUAAACUUCUUUUCUCAGGGACGAAGCAAGUGACGGUACCUGAGGAAUAAGCCACGGCUAACUACGUGCCAGCAGCCGCGGUAAUACGUAGGUGGCAAGCGUUAUCCGGAUUUACUGGGUGUAAAGGGCGUGUAGGCGGGAAAGCAAGUCAGAUGUGAAAACCAUGGGCUCAACCUGUGGCCUGCAUUUGAAACUGUUUUUCUUGAGUACUGGAGAGGCAGACGGAAUUCCUAGUGUAGCGGUGAAAUGCGUAGAUAUUAGGAGGAACACCAGUGGCGAAGGCGGUCUGCUGGACAGCAACUGACGCUGAGGCGCGAAAGCGUGGGGAGCAAACAGGAUUAGAUACCCCUGUAGUC
rnacentral:rRNA from 1 species